rnacentral:lncRNA from 13 species
CCCUGUUAAAAGAAGUGCACUACGACCCUAUGGACCCCUGUCAAAAGAAGUGCACUACGACCCUAUGGACCCCUGUCAAAAUAAGUGCACUACGACCCCUAUGGACCCCUGUUAAAAGAAGUGCACUACGACCCCUAUGGACCCCUGUCAAAAGAAGUGCACUACGACCCUAUGGACCCCUGUUAAAAGAAGUGCACUACGACCCCUGUUAAAAGAAGUGCACUACAUAGGGAAUAGGGAGCCAUUUUAAAGUCCCCAACCUGUUGAUGUGUCAAAGAUUGCCGUUGGUCGCUAUGGUUACAAGGUUCCCCUUUGGAUGGUCUGUGUUGCUCCUCAUCCUCUUAUCGUCGGGCCCCCGGGCGACAGUUACCAUAGAAACGCGUCCUCUAUCGUCGGACCCCGGGCGACAGUUACCCUAGAAACGCGUCCUCUAUCGUCGGGCCCCCGGGCGACAGUUACCCUAGAAACACGUCCUCUAUCGUCGGGCCCCGGGCGACAGUUACCAUAGAAAUACAUCGAAACGAAAUCAACCAAUCGAUCGAAUCAACGAUUUGACUGAUCUAACUAACAGCUAGGAAAGAAGAGGCCAUGCAUCAGUUUAAACACACAGUAGGACAUUAUUGAGUCGGUUUCAGAAACAAUGUGAAGGAGGUCAGUGUAUCAGAAACAUUGUGAAGGAGGUCAGUGUAUCAGAAACAAUGUGAAGGAGGUCAGUGUUUCAGAAACAAUGUGAAGGAGGUCAGUGGACCAACCUGUCGGGGAUCUUAAAGGUCAAUAAAAUGGCCACCUUAUGCUUCUGGCCAGCAGACAUUUCCACAGCAAAACAUGCAGCGCAAUGUGUGUGUGUGUGUGUCCAUUUGAAAUGACAAGGGGAAUCACAGGACAUGCCAUAAUGUGUGUGUGUGUGUGUGUGUGUGUGUGUGUGUGUGUGUGCGCAAGACACUGAGACACAGUAAAAAAACAACCACCCGUCAGUCAUCUCAAUGUCCCAUUACGGUUUCUUCAUCGCACACCAUCCUCAUGUCUCUUUUACAGUAGUUCUCAUUCAUUCAUCAUCCUCAUGUCUCUUUUACAGUAGUGCUCAUUCAUUCAUCAUCCUCAUGUCUCUUUUACAGUAGUUCUCAUUCAUUCAUCAUCCUCAUGUCUCUUUUACAGUAGUGCUCAUUCAUUCAUCAUCCUCAUGUCUCUUUUACAGUAGUUCUCAUUCAGUCACCAUCCUCAUGUCUCUUUUACAGUAGUUCUCAUUCAUUCACCAUCCUCAUGUCUCUUUUACAGUAGUUCUCAUUCAUUCAUCAUCCUCAUGUCUCUUUUACAGUAGUUCUCAUUCAUUCAUCAUCCUCAUGUCUCUUUUACAGUAGUUCUCAUUCAUUCAUCAUCCUCAUGUCUCUUUUACAGUAGUUCUCAUUCAUUCAUCAUCCUCAUGUCUCUUUUACAGUAGUUCUCAUUCAGUCACCAUCCUCAUGUCUCUUUUACAGUAGUUCUCAUUCAGUCACCAUCCUCAUGUCUCUUUUACAGUAGUUCUCAUUCAUUCACCAUCAUCACGGCUUUAAGUGUUAAGAUAAAUUCAUUCAUGAUGCAGAUUCUUCUCCCUUUUAAAAAGAGGUGAAAGUCCUUCCGGGCCAGUCAUCAUAAUAAUCAUCACAUCUUAAAAACACAACGGGGAUCAUUCCCUAUAUAGUGCACUACUUUAGACCAGAGCCCUAUGGCACCAUAUUCCCUACAUAGUGCACUACUAUAGACCAGAGACCUAUGGCACCCUAUCCCCUAUAUAGUGCACUACUUUAGACCAGAGCCCUAUGGCACCCUAUUCCCUAUAUAGUGCACUACUUUACCAAAGUAGGGAAUAGAGUAUCAUUUGGGAUGUAUAAGACCUAUCAAUCAAAGCAUCAGCUGUAAUCAGUCACUUUAAAUCAUCACUUUGCCGUUUGUAAUAAAACAACAACUGAAAAAAAUAGAAGUAUGGAACUUUUAAACAUCAGGAAAUACUUUAUAGAUUUGUUUAUGUUUUUUAGUUUUUAUCGUAUCUUGAUUUCACAUCACAACCAAUGAAGUACUUCACAGGAAAAUAUACAAUUCCAGGGUUUUUCCUCUUUUUGUGGGGGGAGGAUUGAAUAUUAUUUUUCUUAGUUUGUCAUCAAGGUGUUGGAAGUCCCUCAUGGUGGGUGUGUUGUUGUCCGUCUUAAUGAAUGGUCCGGGGGGAAACGAGGAUGCAGGCGGAACCAAAAUAAUCUUAAAUGGAGCCAAUUAUUUCUUUCUUUCAAUUAUUUCUCUAGAAGGGAGAGAAGUACGAGCCUGUCGCUAGCUAGCAGUGUCCUAACACUGUAAAAUGGCUUCCUUCCUCUGUCAGCUCUCUCCUUUCCUGUAUGUCUGGUACAGUAAGACACUCCUUCCUCUGUCAUGUGGCUUUCCUUGAGGCUCUUCAACGAUGUCAGAUCAGCAGCUGAGAGGGAAAGGAGAUGAGAUCAUCUGAUUUGGACGAAGAAAGACUAGUUGUGUGUCCGUCUGUUUAAUUGUUUGGUCUCUCUCCCUCUGUCACCGUCUCUCUGCCCCUCACUCUCUCUCUGUGAUGUCUGGUGAUAGGAGCUACAUGUCUCCUCCCUCUGCCCCCCCCCCUCUCUCUGCCCCUCUCUGUCUCUCUCUCUGCCCCCCCCCUCUCUCUCUCUGUCCCCCAACCCUCUCCAUCUCCCUCUUUC